AUUGAACGCUGGCGGAAUGCUUUACACAUGCAAGUCGAACGGCAGCACGGACUUCGGUCUGGUGGCGAGUGGCGAACGGGUGAGUAAUGUAUCGGAACGUGCCCAGUCGUGGGGGAUAACGUAGUGAAAAUUACGCUAAUACCGCAUACGAUCUAUGGAUGAAAGCGGGGGAUCGCAAGACCUCGCGCGAUUGGAGCGGCCGAUAUCAGAUUAGGUAGUUGGUGGGGUAAAGGCCACCCAAGCCAACGAUCUGUAGCGGGUCUGAGAGGCCGACCAGCCACACUGGAGCUGAGACACGGUCCAGACUCCUACGGGAGGCAUCAGUGGGGAAUUUUGGACAAUGGGCGAAAGCAUGAUCCAGCCAUUCCGCGUGCAGGAUGAAGGCCCUCGGGUUGUAAACUGCUUUUGUACAGAACGAAAAGGUUUCUACUAAUACUAGGAGCUCAUGACGGUACUGUAAGAAUAAGCACCGGCUAACUACGUGCCAGCCGCCGCGGUAA
rnacentral:rRNA from 1 species